rnacentral:rRNA from 1 species
UUUGAUCCUGGCUCAGAUUGAACGCUGGCGGCAUGCCUUACACAUGCAAGUCGAACGGCAGCACGGGUGCUUGCACCUGGUGGCGAGUGGCGAACGGGUUGAGUAAUACAUCGGAACAUGUCCUGUAGUGGGGGAUAGCCCGGCGAAAGCCGGAUUAAUACCGCAUACGAUCUACGGAUGAAAGCGGGGGACCUUCGGGCCUCGCGCUAUAGGGUUGGCCGAUGGCUGAUUAGCUAGUUGGUGGGGUAAAGGCCUACCAAGGCGACGAUCAGUAGCUGGUCUGAGAGGACGACCAGCCACACUGGGACUGAGACACGGCCCAGACUCCUACGGGAGGCAGCAGUGGGGAAUUUUGGACAAUGGGCGAAAGCCUGAUCCAGCAAUGCCGCGUGUGUGAAGAAGGCCUUCGGGUUGUAAAGCAC